rnacentral:rRNA from 1 species
CAGUAGCCGCGGUAAUACGUAGGUGGCGAGCGUUGUCCGGAAUUACUGGGCGUAAAGCGUGCGCAGGCGGUUCGCUAAGACAGAUGUGAAAUCCCCGGGCUUAACCUGGGAACUGCAUUUGUGACUGGCGGGCUAGAGUAUGGCAGAGGGGGGUAAAAUUCCACGUGUAGCAGUGAAAUGCGUAGAGAUGUGGAGGAAUACCGAUGGCGAAGGCAGCCCCCUGGGCCAAUACUGACGCUCAUGCACGAAAGCGUGGGGAGCAAACAGGAUUAGAUACCCCCGUAGUCCCUGUCUCUUAUAC